UUGAACCGCAUGGUUCAAAAGUGAAAGACGGUCUUGCUGUCACUUAUAGAUGGAUCCGCGCUGCAUUAGCUAGUUGGUAAGGUAACGGCUUACCAAGGCAACGAUGCAUAGCCGACCUGAGAGGGUGAUCGGCCACACUGGAACUGAGACACGGUCCAGACUCCUACGGGAGGCAGCAGUAGGGAAUCUUCCGCAAUGGGCGAAAGCCUGACGGAGCAACGCCGCGUGAGUGAUGAAGGUCUUCGGAUCGUAAAACUCUGUUAUUAGGGAAGAACAUAUGUGUAAGUAACUGUGCACAUCUUGACGGUACCUAAUCAGAAAGCCACGGCUAACUACGUGCCAGCAGCCGCGGUAAUACGUAGGUGGCAAGCGUUAUCCGGAAUUAUUGGGCGUAAAGCGCGCGUAGGCGGUUUUUUAAGUCUGAUGUGAAAGCCCACGGCUCAACCGUGGAGGGUCAUUGGAAACUGGAAAACUUGAGUGCAGAAGAGGAAAGUGGAAUUCCAUGUGUAGCGGUGAAAUGCGCAGAGAUAUGGAGGAACACCAGUGGCGAAGGCGACUUUCUGGUCUGUAACUGACGCUGAUGUGCGAAAGCGUGGGGAUCAAACAGGAUUAGAUACCCUGGUAGUCCACGCCGUAAACGAUGAGUGCUAAGUGUUAGGGGGUUUCCGCCCCUUAGUGCUGCAGCUAACGCAUUAAGCACUCCGCCUGGGGAGUACGACCGCAAGGUUGAAACUCAAAGGAAUUGACGGGGACCCGCACAAGCGGUGGAGCAUGUGGUUUAAUUCGAAGCAACGCGAAGAACCUUACCAAAUCUUGACAUCCUUUGACAACUCUAGAGAUAGAGCCUUCCCCUUCGGGGGACAAAGUGACAGGUGGUGCAUGGUUGUCGUCAGCUCGUGUCGUGAGAUGUUGGGUUAAGUCCCGCAACGAGCGCAACCCUUAAGCUUAGUUGCCAUCAUUAAGUUGGGCACUCUAAGUUGACUGCCGGUGACAAACCGGAGGAAGGUGGGGAUGACGUCAAAUCAUCAUGCCCCUUAUGAUUUGGGCUACACACGUGCUACAAUGGACAAUACAAAGGGCAGCGAAACCGCGAGGUCAAGCAAAUCCCAUAAAGUUGUUCUCAGUUCGGAUUGUAGUCUGCAACUCGACUACAUGAAGCUGGAAUCGCUAGUAAUCGUAGAUCAGCAUGCUACGGUGAAUACGUUCCCGGGUCUUGUACACACCGCCCGUCACACCACGAGAGUUUGUAACACCCGAAGCCGGUGGAGUAACCUUUUAGGAGCUAGCCGUCGAAGGUGGGACAAAUGAUUGGGGUGAAGUCGUAACAAGGUAGCCGUAUCGGAAGGUGCGGCUG
rnacentral:rRNA from 1 species